UUCCUCCCGGGGGCGGGCAGGUUCGGGAUGUGGUGCACUGUUGUCAUGUCCCUCCAAUAUUGCACUCGUCCCGGCCUCCCCGGCCCAGGGGUC
rnacentral:pre_miRNA from 1 species